rnacentral:rRNA from 1 species
UACAGAGGGUGCGAGCGUUAAUCGGAAUUACUGGGCGUAAAGCGCACGUAGGUGGUUUGGCAAGUCGGGUGUGAAAACUCCGGGCUCAACCCGGAGACGCCACUCGAUACUGCUAUGACUUGAGUCCGGUAGGGGAGUGCGGAAUUCCUGGUGUAACGGUGAAAUGCGCAGAUAUCAGGAGGAACACCGGUGGCGAAGGCGGCACUCUGGGCCGGUACUGACGCUGAGGAGCGAAAGCGUGGGGAGCGAACAGG